rnacentral:rRNA from 1 species
AUACGGAGGAUGCGAGCGUUAUCCGGAUUUAUUGGGUUUAAAGGGAGCGUAGGUGGGAUAUUAAGUCAGCUGUGAAAGUUUGGGGCUCAACCUUAAAAUUGCAGUUGAUACUGGUUUCCUUGAGUACGGUACAGGUGGGCGGAAUUCGUGGUGUAGCGGUGAAAUGCUUAGAUAUCACGAAGAACUCCGAUCGCGAAGGCAGCUCACCGGGCCGGAACUGACACUGAUGCUCGAAAGUGCGGGUAUCAAACAGGAUUAGAUACCCUGGUAGUCCGCACAGUAAACGAUGAAUACUCGCUGUUUGCGAUACACUGUAAGCGGCCAAGCGAAAGCGUUAAGUAUUCCACCUGGGGAGUACGCCGGCAACGGUGAAACUCAAAUGAAUUGGCGGG